rnacentral:rRNA from 1 species
AACGCGUAUGAAACCUACCUAAUACAGGGGGAUAGCCCAGAGGAAUUUGGAUUAAUACCCCAUGGUACUGUGGUCUCGCAUGAGAUUAUAGUUAAAGAUUUAUCGGUAUUAGAUGGUCAUGCGUCCUAUUAGUUAGUUGGUAAGGUAACGGCUUACCAAGACUUCGAUAGGUAGGGGCCCUGAGAGGGGGAUCCCCCACACUGGUACUGAGACACGGACCAGACUCCUACGGGAGGCAGCAGUGAGGAAUAUUGGACAAUGGAGGCAACUCUGAUCCAGCCAUGCCGCGUGAAGGAAGACUGCCCUAUGGGUUGUAAACUUCUUUUAUAGAGGAAGAAACGUGAAUACGUGUAUUCAUUUGACGGUACUCUACGAAUAAGGAUCGGCUAACUCCGUGCCAGCAGCCGCGGUAAUACGGAGGAUCCAAGCGUUAUCCGGAAUCAUUGGGUUUAAAGGGUCCGCAGGCUGUUGUUUAAGUCAGAGGUGAAAGUUUGCAGCUCAACUGUAAAAUUGCCUUUGAUACUGGAUAACUUGAGUAAUAAUGAAGUGGUUAGAAUAUGUAGUGUAGCGGUGAAAUGCAUAGAUAUUACAUAGAAUACCGAUU